UUCAAAUUUGAAACAAAAAAUUGUUCGCGCCUUUGCUGCUAAUCCACGAACCAGGUAUUAGCAAGAAACACAACUACCACUAUCGAAGAAGACACAUCACUAUCGGAGGUGAGCCAUCACUAUGGAACCAGCACCAUCACUAUCACACCAACAAGAAUCCAAGUCGGCGCCAAUAAAAGUUUUUUGUUUCAAAUGAAGUUAUUGUUCUGUUAAAACAUUGUGAUACCUUAAUAAAUAUAAUGAUUGCAUCUGA